rnacentral:ncRNA from 1 species
AUCCAAGGAAGGCAGCAGGCGCGCAAAUUACCCAUUCCCGACGCGGGGAGGUAGUGACGAAAAAUAACAAUGCAGGACUCGUUCGAGGCCCUGUAAUUGGAAUGAGUACACUUUAAAAGCUUUAACGAGUAUCCAUUGGAGGGCAAGUCUGGUGCCAGCAGCCGCGGUAAUUCCAGCUCCAAAAGUAUAUAUUUAAGUUGUUGCGGUUAAAAAGCUCGUAGUUGGAUUUUGGGCGCAGGCGGCCGGUCCGUCGCAAGGUUUGUACUGGACGUCCUGGCCUUCCCUCCGGUUCUCCGCCGGUGCUCUUGACUGAGUGUCGGCGGCGGCCGGAACGUUUACUUUGAAAAAAUUAGAGUGUUCAAAGCAGGCUCUCGAGCCUGGAUAAUGGUGCAUGGAAUAAUGGAAUAGGACCUCGGUUCUAUUUUGUUGGUUUUCGGAGCGCGAGGUAAUGAUUAAGAGGGACAGACGGGGGCAUUCGUACUGUGCCGUUAGAGGUGAAAUUCUUGGAUCGGCGCAAGACGAACGACUGCGAAAGCAUUUGCCAAGAAUGUUUUCUUUAAUCAAGAGCGAAAGUCAGAGGUUCGAAGACGAUCAGAUACCGUCCUAGUUCUGACUAUAAACGAUGCCAACUAGCGAUCGGGGGGCGUUACAUUGACGACCCCUCCGGCAGCUUACGGGAAACCAAGGUCAUUG